CGAUUCCUCUCCCUCUCACUUUUCCCUCGUCUACCGCCGCCACUGGCGACCUCGCCGCAGCCGCCGCGACCACCAACGCCCUCCCCAACGGCCACCCCUUCUCUCCUCCCCUUACCUUCUCCUUACCAUCGGCGACCUCCUCCCCUCUCCCUCGCACCAGAUCGAGCAGCAGGCCGGGAUCCGAAGCAGCCUCAGAUCCGGCACGCCCUAAGCGAUGGUUUCCGUUGAGAACGCCAUGGACAAGGUGCUCUGGCCCUGUUGCUGCAGCCAUGGACAAGAUGUGUGCGGAUCGGAUGAAGAAGAGAAGAGGAAGGAUCUUGAGGAAGAGUGAAGAACAAGUAUAGCAGGAAAAUCAUAACACGACCGUCUUCAUCGGGGAUGGGCACGGUGAGAACUGAGAAGUGGCAACGCGUGAGCACAUGUUCGGCAAGGAAGGUGAUCCGCAUGCCAUCUGCUGCAAGGUUGUGAUAACGUCGAGUUCGUGUUACCCAAAGCACACAGCGCAAGCGGGACAAGCUAUAACAGCUAGUGUUCUUCUCUGUCGGUCCUGAGUUCCUGGAGUUGCUGAAGAAUUUGAUAGAAGUCAAGGUUAAAAUUUGAACAGGGUAGGUGUCUACAACACGAAAGAAAAUGAAGAUAUAUACUUGCAUUAGAUGAAAGUGGCACAACAACAACAACAACACACAACAGAAACAUAGUGUAUCAAGAAGCGUCGGCUGCCUGUAGGAGAUAUUUUGCCCUGCAGUUUCAGUUUCAGAUGAACUUUACAGAGACAUCUAAUCAUUUCCCACCGGUGCAUGUUUUGAAAAAAAAGGUAUGUGAAUCUAGCUUUGUAUGUCCAGAGUAGUUGUACUUUUGUUUGUGCCAUAUGUUGCCAUCACACUAGCUGAAUCUCUGUUUAUGUUUUAUGUCUUUCCUCUGAACUUUGUAAAAUAAUGACCAGUCUAAAAAUUCAGUGAAUUGUGCUCCACUUUUGCUAUAUCUUCUGGCUAAUCGGAAAUGUUUUCCAGCUGAGUGUCGCUGAUGCAAAUAAGUCAACAGUCUAGAUGCAUUUAUGGAGUUACAACUAUUGCUGGUGGGAAAUCAAGCAGAGGAGGGCAUGUUGGUGGACCAAGUGAUGCUGCAAAAUUUGCUACUGAUUUUGAAGUCUGUUACAUUGCCAGUCGUUGCUCCCUUUUGGUGAUUGACAGAGGAAAUCAAGCUAUUAGGGAGAUUCAGCUCAACUUAGAUGACCGUGUGUACCAGUAUGAAGCUGGUUUUCCUCUAGGAUUCAGGAUGGGCGCCAUAUGUUAGACCUCUUCCCGGCAAGGAUCAGAUGCAUAAUAUGGUAUGUACAUGCAAUGGAGAUCGAAAUGCAUUUGGUCCUCUAAUAUGCACUGCUGGCAUACAGGUUAUUUUUUGUUUCAAGCACAAACACACGCGUUCCAUGGUUAAUUUUGUAGAGAUGGAAACAAAUUGAGUUCUUAUGGCUUCUAAUUGCUGAGGUAGGAUACGAAUCCUUUAUGCCCUUUGCUGCAAGCGACAUAAUACAUGUAAGUGUUUCAUCCUCUCCUAGAGCUCAUGCAUAUAUGUUAGUGAUGGACAAUCAGAAAGACUAAAUGCUACUCCCUCUGUCCCAUAAUAUAAGAACGUUUUUAACACUACACUAGUGUCAAAAACGUUCUUAUAUUAUGGGAUGGAGGGAGUAAUAAGGUGCUAUUUAAAAUCGUUGAUGGUUUAUACUUUGAUCAUUUAGUUUUAGGAUGGUUUGUGUAAGCCACACAUUUUCAUGCAUGAAGCUGCUACUCUUGACUAGGAUAUGUGUGCUAUUUGUUAACCUCAUCAUAUUGGGGUUGGUAACUCAACAUACCCGCAUAUUACUACCCCGGUGAAUGCCGGAAAAUGUUAACCAUCGACCAAAAAUAUCGCUCCGACUAGAUACCUGUUUCCAAACUAAACAGUUGUUUUCGUGUCAUCUAGACUAUACCAAAUAUAGUAAUAAUCAAUAUAUGAUCUUGGGCAAGCCGAAAUGCCAUUAUUUCUUUUUAAAAAUGAUACCAUGCUAUCUGAAUUUGGAAAUGAAGCAGCUGAUCCACUUACUCAAGUUUCAGUUUUCUUCUUUAGUUUUGCAUUUGCAGCCAGAAUUUUUUGGUGUUUCAAAAAAUAGCCUCGAGCUAUUUGGACUACCUACUUGUGACCCAAAGCUUAAAUUGUUAUAUUUUAAGGUUGUAUGUUGUGACCACUAAGACUAAAGAUUGUAAUUCAUUGUUCAUCGUACCAAUGGUGUUCCCGUUGAAGAUGAUCGUAGAAACUAUAUUAUCAGUUCAUUGCUACUUUGUAUGUGACUUAUCCUAUAGCCUCGUAUAUGUCAGGAUUGUAAUACGAGUGCCUUGGUCAUACAAUUUUUUGUUAUGAUGUCCAAAGGUAAUAUGUUAAUUUUGAUGUCAUUUAUUGGUAAGUAAAUCAAAGUCAACUUUAUCAUGUGCUUACAUGAUUUGGUAUACAAGAUGGAUCUUUAGCUUUUGGGGACAUACUAAUGAGAAAGCUGGCAAAAAGGAUCUCAUUUAAAAAUUUAAAAUAUGCAAGUAACAGUAUCAGCUUUUCCUGUAAUUCCUUGACAUGUCAUUCUUAUUCCUUAUCAAUACGAGUAAAACUGAAAAUGAGUGUCUUGCAUGAGUUUUAGUUAGUUUUACUAUGUUGCGGAUUUCAAUACUGAACCAGUAAGGCCAACAUGCAUAAUCAAGCUUAGAUUAGUAAGCCAACCAGCCAACAUGCAUAAUCAAGCUUAGAUUAGUAACCCAACCAGCCACUGUGAUGUGUGCAGACAAGAUUAGAUUUGUGAUUUGACUGCGUUCUGAUAAUCUGACGAACUAUUCCUCUCUUUUGGAGAUCGCCUGUUUUUUGGAGGAUGUUAGACUUUGAUUUCAACCGCUCAUCGUGCUCUUUCAGUCAUCCGCCUCUCAGCUAAUAUAGAACUAUUAGCUGUCUCUGUUCGCUCUGCUUGACGAGUGAAUAAUUUGUUGCUGCUGUUCUAUUCCAUGUGUUUUAAAAAAAAUUGACACUCAUUAUGACUGCAUAUACAAGUUAACAAAUGCGCUAACAAGAUUAGUGCGCACAAUCACACACAGGAGGCGCACCCUGCUUUCCCGUCGCCGCCUGGUAAACCCUACACCGGCGGCCGUGGGUGCCGUACAAUUUACGGAUGUCCUGAUGUACCACCGGCGGGUGGCCAGCCCUAAUUACACCGGCGCACAGACCAAUCUGUCAAAACAAUGCAAGGAUCGAUCGACAUAUGUAGCUGAACGGCGACCUAGAUGCAUGUACUAUAUGCAUGCAUGCCUCUUAUACACGAGCAAUACCGUCUCGUGAUGUACUCGUACCUAGUACUUAGACUCGAAUAAAACUGGAUUAUUGCGUCUGGAUUUUGAUGUGAAUCCAUAUGGUCAAUUUUCGUGAAGAUAAAAUUAAGUUUGGUUCGGAACUUGCAGGCAUGUAUCGCUGGAUAGUGAGUAAAUUAAAUUUGCGGUAAAGCCAGGUACUAUACUGAAGAGUACCUGAAAGCUCCAAGGGGGACUAAAUUCAGCUCAUGAUCUUUUAUGUGUGUA